rnacentral:rRNA from 1 species
AAGCUCGUAGUUGAAUUUCGGGGUUAGUAGGUUGGUCAUGCCUCCGGUAUGUACUGAUCUCACUGAUUCCUCCUUCCUUAUGAACCGUAAUGCCAUUAAUUUGGUGUUGCGGGGAAUUUGGACUGUUACUUUGAAAAAAUUAGAGUGUUUAAAGCAGGCUAACGCUUGAAUACAUUAGCAUGGAAUAAUGAAAUAGGACGUUCGAUCUUAUUUUGUUGGUUUCUAAGAUUGACGUAAUGAUUAAUAGGGAUAGUUGGG